rnacentral:antisense_RNA from 10 species
GAUAACCGAAGAUCACACCGGGGUCGAGGGUGGGGUUCGUGAUCAAACGAACGUCUCCACCACCUGGAGCCCAGGUGUCAUAAACGCCACCGAAGAACAUGGCCUUGAAGACCAGGAGCAGGCAGCCCACACCCAAAAGGAUGAGGUGAUAACCAAUGAUGUUGGUCAUCUGGUUUUUGUCGCGCCA